GGGCAGCCUCAUCUGCAGAUGACAGUGUCCCUGCAGGCACCUGCUCCUGGAGACAGCUAUCCUUCUGAGUUGCCCUGAGGACACACCCAGAGGGGCACAAUGCUGGGAGAUGGCACUGGGCACUCUUGACCUGCUUCCAGGAGAGCCAUGUGUGGCCCCAGCAGGGCCGGAGGAAAUGGGCCAAGAACACAGGUGUACCAUCAGGGGUAUGACCAAAGGUGCUUUAUUUUCUUAUCAUUAAAAGUUAAGGCUUAAACAAUGAUACAGUGAAGUUUUUUGUUUUUUGUUUUUUGUUUUUGAGAUGGAGUCUCACUCUGUCACCCAGGCUGGAUUGCAGUGGCGCAAUCUCAGCUCACCGCAAGCUCUGCCUCCCAUGUUUAAAUAAAAUAAAAUGCCAGAGGUAAAGACAACGUGGUGCAAGUAGGACUCGGCACCGUACAAGCUGCUUGGUGCAAGGAGGCUCCCCAAAGUCGAGGGCGGCAGGGGAGGUGGAGCCCUGAGCUGCUCCCGCUGGACAGCAGGCACUGAGGGGGCAAGAGGUUGGAGGCAGACGACUGCAAUGACCCCAAGGACAGGGCAGCUCCCCCUUCUCGCUCACCCCAAGCUUUCAGGGUUGAUGGAAAAGGGCCUGAGUGGGCCCUCCUCUUUGAGGACCCAGUGGGGUGGGCAGGGAGUCCAGCCGGCCCUGACCACUAGGCAGCAGUGUUCGGCGUUUCUUCUGCAGGCAGGUGGGCAGGUGGAGGACCCCAUUGGCUCACAGGUGCUAUAGUAGCCAUUGGGUUUUUUUGGACACAAACUUCCAAAUGACCAGGGCCGGGGGCUGCACCUGCACCACGACCAGGUUUUUCAGAACGGGUGUCAGAUAAACGCUCAGCCCUAGGCAGCCUGGACCCCAUGUCUGGUUUCAGGGUGCACCCUGAAGGCCAACACGGCCUCCUCACACUCCACCCAGGGGGUCAGGGCUCACCGCCGCAGCCCUUGCCCGCCUCAGACCCUGAUCCAUUCAUUCAGUUCCCUGAGCACCUACUAUUGUGCCAGGUGCUGAGUGAGGCCCCUGCCAGACAAAGACAAGUUAGAGUCCCUACCCUCAAGACCUGGCAGCCUACCAGGGAGCAGUAGCGUCCCCAACGGUACAGCCAAUGCCGCACCAGAAGUGUGGUUCCUAGAAGCAGGGGGGACAAGGGAAGGAGGUGCUGGGACUAGCUCGGUGGGUCGCAGAAGAGGUGAUCUCUGAAUUAGGACUUGAAAGAUGAAGAGAGGGCAUAGAGCAGGGGAGAAACAUGAUCCAGUCUGUAUUUAAGUAAGUCACAGACUGGUCGGGCACAUGGCUCACACCUGUAAUCCCAGCACUUUGUGAGGCCAAAGUGGGCGGAUCACCUAUGGUCAGGAGUUGGAGACCAGCCUGGCCGACAUGGUGAAAUCCCGUCUGUACUAAAAAUGCAAAAAUUAGCCGGGUGUGGUGGCGGGUGCCUGUAAUCCCAGCUACUAGGGAGGCUGAGGCAGGAUAAUCGCUUGAACCCGGGACGGGGAGGUUGCAGUGAGCAGAGAUCAUGCCACUGCACUCCAGCCUGGGUGACAGAGCAAGACUCCAUCUCAAAAAAACAAAAACAUGAAAAUGAAACCCAAAGUCAUAAGAUAGAGAGGCAUGGGGAGCAGCUGCUUGCUGGGGCCAGGUUUUCCUUUAGGAGUGGGGAAAUGCCAUGGAACUGGAGGUGGUGGUUCCACAACAUGCUCAUUCAUGCAACCACCACCUCUGUCUGGGGUCGUUCAAAUGGUUGGAUAGUAUGUCAAUUUCACUUCAAUUUUUUUAAAAGAAAAAUGAAACAGUUUCAUGGCAGGCUAGAGGGAAGACUGUGCCCUGGACACCUGCCACAGACUAGGCCCGGAAAGCAGCCUGAGGGAAGGCUGCUGGUAGAGGCGGCAGGAAGGGAGGGGGCGGCACUGCCUGGCCAAGCUCUGGGCAGACACCAGCCCCACAGUGAGCUGGCCUGCAGGAGGAAGCAGCCCUGCGCCCCACCUCCCAGGCCAGAGCGCUCUGCACGCCCCGCUCAGGGACAAUCUUGCCCAAUUCUGGCCUGAGUGUGUGUCCUAAUGUCAAGCACAAGACAGUCCGAGCACUUACAGUAAGUGCAAGAGUUACUGCAGGGAGCGUGGCGGGUGUGGGAAGGGGGUGUCCCGCCACCACAGGCCCCAGGAGCACACCUGGAGAAUCUCUGAUCACCCUGGACGCACAGCAGCAGCGCACACCAACCCACAGGGGCUUCAGUUCAUUCUGCAGUGCUAGGCACUCCUGCCCCUUGAGACUGACAGUCUUUAGGACAGGGGGUGGGGAGACCAGCCAACACCUGUCUCAGGUGCUGUGAAGCUAGAACGCGGACCCGGCCUCAGCGGGGAGCUCAGGGAAAUCCUGGGAGGGACACUAGGGCCCAGGCAUGAGGAGUGGCAAAUAGCACGCGCAAAGGCCGGGAAACAGAGGCUUUCAGUUCAGAGGAACUGAAAGAAACCUGGUGCCAGAGAGCCUGUGGCUGUGUUGGGGGCCAAGCUUCCUGCCAGGCUAGCAGACCAGGAGGCCUCUCAGACCCGGGACAGGUGCUGCCCCAACAGUCCCCUGAAGGUACUGAAGGAAGGUGUUCAGAGGAGCAAAGAAAGAGGGCUUGGCAGGAAGGGGCCACCCCCGUGGCCAGUCUGGGGAAGAGGAACCCAGGAGCAUAGAGUGGGCAGAGGCAGCUCACGUGACGGCAGGCAGAGGCUCCACAGCAGCUGCAGGGAGGGCCCCCAGCAGCCUCGGUCUCACUGGAGGAACUGGACAGGGAGGGGGCAUCUGUGCAGGGCUCAAAAGAAAAAAGGCAUUCUAUUUUUCUUUGUAUUAUACCGAUCCACAAUUAAACACAAGGUACUAAAAAGACGUGGCCGGGCACGGUGGCUCACCCCUAUAAUCCCAGCACUUUGGGAGGCCGAGGCAGGCGGAUAACUUGAGGCCAGGAGUUAGGGACCAGCCCGGCCAACAUGGUGAAAUCCGGUCUCUACUGAAAAUACAAAAAUUAGCCGGACAUGGUGGCAGGUGCCUGUAAUCCCAGCUACUCAGGAGGCUGAGGCAGGAGGAUACCUCAAACCUGGAAGUUGGAAGUUGCAGUGAGCCAAGAUCGCACCACCACAUUCCAGGCUGGGCGAUACAGCAAGACUCCGUCUCAAACAAAAAAAAAGACAUUCAUUAAUAUUGACGUGGCCAGGCGCGGUGGCUCACGCCUGUAAUCCCAGCACUUUGCGAGGCCGAGGCGGGUGGAUCACGAGGUCAGGAGAUAAUUCCAUCCUAGCUAACAGGGUGAAACCCCGUCUCUACUAAAAAUA
rnacentral:lncRNA from 1 species